AUGUAUGGUGAGUUAAAUGGAGGCAAAGCUUGGGAGGCGGUGAAAACAUUUAUGCAUGCUUUGUUUGAAGAGUACAAAGCUAAGUAUGCACCAAGUGAUGCAAGCAAGCAUGUGGGUGCUCCACAAUCUGAACCAACUCAAAAAAGGGAAGGAAGGAAGUUGGUGUCUCGGAUAAAUAAAAAGUUGAGAAUUGGUGAUGGUGAAGCUAGCAUGAGCAAAUCUGAAUUUGAGAAAUGCCUACAUGAAGAGAAUGAAGUAAAUAGGGAUGAUUUUAACAUUCUAAAAUGGUGGAAGGACAAUGCUGCUAGAUUCCCAAUAUUGGCUAGAAUGGCCCGUGAUGUGUUGGUUGUUCCGGUAUCAACGGUUGCGUCUGAGUCGGCAUUUAGCACAAGUGGUCGCAUUCUAAAUGAAUUUAGAACCUCUCUUACACCAUUCAUGGUCCAAGCUCUUGUUUGUGCCCAAGAUUGGCUAAGGGGUUCUAUUACUAUCAACAUUGAAGAAGAUGAGGAGGAAUUGUUAAGAUUGGAAAAGGAACUAAUUGAAGAGUUUGGUAGUACAAAUUCAUCCACGUCAAAAGCAAGCAGUAGCAAGUCUGUUUGCAAGCCAUCUUACCCACCCCCAUCCUCUACUUAA
rnacentral:rRNA from 1 species